CCUUGCCCCAUCCCUACUGAGGUAAUGUUUCCCAUAGGCCACACUUUUUUUAUCUCAGACUUCGCGUGUAGCCCAUUAAGCAGCAUGGCUUUUACCUGUGCUCCUCCCUCAGCUCCUAUGUGUUCCACACACAGCUGCUUACACUCGUUCUUCCUGACAGCUUUCUUGGUGUGUUCCUAACUAGAUUAUAUUUCCAGGCUUCCGUGUACAAGAUUUGCAGAGAAAUGUAUGAUGAUGGAGUGGGUUUACCUUUUCAAAGUCAGCCUGACCUUAUUGGAGACAAGUUAGUAGGAGGACUGCUUUCCCUCAGCCUGGAUUACUGUUUUGUCCUCGAAGAUGAAGAUGGUAUUUGUGGUUAUGCCUUAGGCACUGUAGAUGUGACCCCCUUCAUUAAAAAGUGCAAAAUUUCCUGGAUUCCCUUCAUGCAGGAGAAGUAUACUAAGCCAAAUGGAGACAAAGAGCUCUCAGAAGCUGAGAAAAUAAUGUUGAGUUUCCAUGAAGAGCAGGAGGUAUUACCAGAAACUUUCCUUGCCAACUUCCCUUCUCUGAUAAAAAUGGAUAUUCAUAAAAAGGUCACUGACCCAAGUGUUGCCAAAAGCAUGAUGGCUUGCCUCCUGUCUUCACUAAAGGCCA
rnacentral:lncRNA from 1 species